UUACAGAAUGAGCUUCAACAAAACCCGCGAAGUUGGCACCUCCCCGUUGUGCAUUACUUAAACAAGACGGAGAGUUCAGAAGCAGUAUGUGGUGCAUGGUUUGUUGCAAGGAUCUCAUGUGCUCACAGCAGUUUUGGUGCCUAGAGUGCUCUGCUACGGUCCGAAAUAGAGGUAAUGGCAGCAGUGAAUACUGGCAGCAACGACUUCUACACAUGCGUGCUCACCAAAGAAGCCAGAAUAUGGACUGGGGUCUGUGGGUGCUCUCCAGUUUUAGUUGGCACAGCAGUUAUAGCACAUCUACUCUACAGUUGGAAAACGGAAGCGGAUAAGCCAGCAAUUCUAGUUCUGGCUACCUAAAAGCUG